rnacentral:rRNA from 1 species
GACGAACGCUGGCGGCGUGCUUAACACAUGCAAGUCGAGCGAUGAAGCUCCUUCGGGAGUGGAUUAGCGGCGGACGGGUGAGUAACACGUGGGUAACCUGCCUCAUAGAGGGGAAUAGCCUUCCGAAAGGAAGAUUAAUACCGCAUAAGAUUGUAGUUUCGCAUGAGACAGCAAUUAAAGGAGCAAUCCGCUAUGAGAUGGACCCGCGUCGCAUUAGCUAGUUGGUGAGGUAACGGCUCACCAAGGCGACGAUGCGUAGCCGACCUGAGAGGGUGAUCGGCCACAUUGGGACUGAGACACGGCCCAGACUCCUACGGGAGGCAGCAGUGGGGAAUAUUGCACAAUGGGGGAAACCCUGAUGCAGCAACGCCGCGUGAGUGAUGAAGGUCUUCGGAUUGUAAAGCUCUGUCUUCUGGGACGAUAAUGACGGUACCAGAGGAGGAAGCCACGGCUAACUACGUG